UACGUAGGGGGCUAGCGUUGUCCGGAAUCAUUGGGCGUAAAGAGCGUGUAGGCGGUCCGGUAAGUCCGCUGUGAAAGUCGGGGGCUCAACCCUCGAAUGCCGGUGGAUACUGUCGGGCUAGAGUGCGGAAGAGGCGAGUGGAAUUCCCGGUGUAGCGGUGAAAUGCGUAGAUAUCGUAAGGAAGACCAGUGGCGAAGGCGGGUCUCUGGACAGUUCCUGACGCUGAGGCACGAAGGUCAGGGGAGCAAACGGG
rnacentral:rRNA from 1 species